CGCCGCGGCUAAACCCUAGGGCCCAAAUUGAUAAAACUCGGCGUAAAUCGUGAUUAAAGUCUACUAAAAUUAGAGUGGAACCUACUACUAAGCUGUGAAAAGCAACUCUUUUAGGGAAAAUCAGAAACGAAAGUUACUCUAAUGCACACUUGAACACACGACAACUGGGAAA
rnacentral:rRNA from 1 species